rnacentral:rRNA from 1 species
AUUGAACUGAAGAGUUUGAUCCUGGCUCAGAUUGAACGCUGGCGGCAUGCCUUACACAUGCAAGUCGAACGGCAGCACGGGCUUCGGCCUGGUGGCGAGUGGCGAACGGGUGAGUAAUACAUCGGAACAUGUCCUGUAGUGGGGGAUAGCCCGGCGAAAGCCGGAUUAAUACCGCAUACGAUCUGAGGAUGAAAGCGGGGGACCUUCGGGCCUCGCGCUAUAGGGUUGGCCGAUGGCUGAUUAGCUAGUUGGUGGGGUAAAGGCCUACCAAGGCGACGAUCAGUAGCUGGUCUGAGAGGACGACCAGCCACACUGGGACUGAGACACGGCCCAGACUCCUACGGGAGGCAGCAGUGGGGAAUUUUGGACAAUGGGCGCAAGCCUGAUCCAGCAAUGCCGCGUGUGUGAAG